CUAGCAGCCUGGUGGGUGUAAAUUUAUAAGAUUAGAUAUUAUUUAAAAGACUAUAGUCUUUUAAAUAAUAUCUAAUCUUAUAAAUUUACACCCACCAGGCUGCUAGAGGUGAAC
rnacentral:miRNA from 1 species